rnacentral:rRNA from 1 species
UACGUAGGGUGCGAGCGUUGUCCGGAAUUAUUGGGCGUAAAGAGCUUGUAGGCGGUUUGUCGCGUCUGCUGUGAAAAUCCGGGGCUCAACCCCGGACUUGCAGUGGGUACGGGCAGACUGGAGUGUGGUAGGGGAGACUGGAAUUCCUGGUGUAGCGGUGAAAUGCGCAGAUAUCGGGAAGAACACCCGUAGCGAAGGCGGUUCUCUGGGCCGGUACUGACGCUGAGGAGCGAAAGCGUGGGGAGCAAACAGGG